rnacentral:rRNA from 1 species
UGAACGCUGGCGGCGUGCCUCCUACAUGCAAGUCGAGCGAACAGACGCGGAGCUUGCUCCUCUGACGUUAGCGGCGGACGGGUGAGUAACACGUGGAUAACCUACCUAUAAGACUGGGAUAACUUCGGGAAACCGGAGCUAAUACCGGAUAAUAUAUUGAACCGCAUGGUUCAAUAGUGAAAGACGGUUUUGCUGUCACUUAUAGAUGGAUCCGCGCCGCAUUAGCUAGUUGGUAAGGUAACGGCUUACCAAGGCAACGAUGCGUAGCCGACCUGAGAGGGUGAUCGGCCACACUGGAACUGAGACACGGUCCAGACUCCUACGGGAGGCAGCAGUAGGGAAUCUUCCGCAAUGGGCGAAAGCCUGACGGAGCAACGCCGCGUGAGUGAUGAAGGUCUUCGGAUCGUAAAACUCUGUUAUUAGGGAAGAACAAAUGUGUAAGUAACUAUGCACGUCUUGACGGUACCUAAUCAGAAAGCCACGGCUAACUACGUG